rnacentral:misc_RNA from 1 species
GAUGAAGAACGCAGCGAACUGCGAUAAGUAAUGUGAAUUGCAGAAUUCAGUGAAUCAUCGAAUCUUUGAACGCACAUUGCGCCCGCUAGUAUUCUGGCGGGCAUGCCUGUCCGAGCGUCAUUUCAACCCUCAAGCCCCCGGGCUUGGUGUUGGGGAUCGGCGAGCCUCCGCGCCCGCCGUCCCCUAAAUCUAGUGGCGGUCUCGCUGUAGCUUCCUCUGCGUAGUAGCACACCUCGCACUGGGAAACAGCGCGGCCACGCCGUUAAACCCCCAACUUCUGAACGUUUGACCUCGGAUCAGGUAGGAAUACCCGCUGAACUUAAGCAUAUCAAUAAGCGGAGGA